GUGUUUGCUUCGGCAGCACAUAUACUAAAAUUGGAACAAUACAACGAAGAUUAGCACAGCCCCCGAGCAAGGAAGACAUGCAAAUUCGUGAAGCGUCCCAUAGUUUA